rnacentral:lncRNA from 1 species
AUGGUUUUUAUUUUGUUGAGUUUUUCUUUUGUUACAGGUGAUUUUAUAUCAAUGACUAAAAUGAACCAUGGAAGAAUGGUAAACAAAUGUUUCAGUCAAAUAAAAAUACACUUAAUUAAAACAGUCAAUUUAAAUACCCAGGAUAUAAAGUUGAUUUUUCCCUGUUGUGUUAAGUUACCUGCAGGUAAUGAUGGAGGCUACAGUGUGAUCACGUCAGUACCUGAUGACAACUGUCUUAAUAGAGAGAAACUAAACUUGGAACAGACAAAAAAUGAAGAUGUAAGUUAGACCUGGUGUAGUAAUAAAUAUGUCCGCUUCUCAUCUUAAUCAAUGCUAAUGACUAAAAGGUCAUUACUCUUUCUCUUCUAGUCUGACAUUUACCAUGUGUACGCCACCAUCUCUGAAGAAACAGAUCCACCAGAUUCACAGGACAUGAUAUACAGCAUGCUGAAUGCACACUGAAACACAGUGAAACAUUUUUGGUGACGUUGUUAGUAAAAUGUCUAAAAUGAUCUAAAUUAUGUCAAAGUGAGGAAAGUGUGACAAGUAAUAGAUGCAAUCUUGCAAAAAAAUCUUGAGAUUGAAUUGUUGUAGAUUUUUUUUGUAUUUAAAGAUAACUGACAUGAUGAUGAUUUCGGCUUUAGUAUUUUUAAUAAGGGCUCUUAGAUAUUUAUUGUUUUGUUUUAAAGUAAUUGUAAGUUGGAAGAUGACAGUCAAAACUCCUGAGUCAUUUCCAAGCUUAGAACAAUGUAUACUUUUCAGUGUAGGGAUCGUUACAAAAAAAGUAUUAUGUAUUACACAUUACUUUACUUUAAAAAAAAUAAAAUAAUGCAGUAUGUUCAUUGCCAGAGAAAGUAAUUUGUUACACUACUUGUUACAUUACUUUCUCAUCAUCAGUAAAAUGACCUGAAAUGCAAUGUCUCAUAAUUACCAAUUAAGAAUAUAGACUUUAGGCUAAAGUCCCACACACCAACACAAAUCCCUAUCCUAAUUAUAAAACACUCUUUCACAAAACCGACAACAAAAAGAAAAGAUGGAAACCAGCCCAAAGAGACUUCAAAGUGAUUGCAACACCAAUUCUACUGUAGAAAUACAAAGGGAUCUGGCAGCUCCAUCACUCUGGGUUCUUGGCUAGCUUUGUGUUAAUUUGCGCAGAUGCUUGCAAAAACAUUGUAGUUGUUUUUUUUCCUGGAUGCAGUUUCCACUUUACCAUGGUGCACUCCCCCUUUUGUGCAAUAAAAAUAAAGUUAGUGUGCAUAUCUUCACCUGUGAAAUGUUGUUGACUGUUCCCGUAUGUUCUUGUAAAGGCUUUACUUUAUAAGAACUGAUUCUAGUUUAGUUCAGUUGAAAUUUCUCAUAAAUCCUGUGCUUUGAAUGCCUAAAAAUGUAUCCAGACAUCUUCCAUUUUAACCAUGUACAAGAGCCAUGUAAGAAAUGGAAAACCAUAUUCAGUGAAACAAGCAAAUAAAUAAAUAAAUUAUAGAUUUACUAUUUUAUUUUGUUUCUUAAUGUUUAACAUAACUUUCUGUAACUGGAUACUGUAUGUGACUUACACAUUUACACAUGUAUCACAACACUUGCCACUGUAUUAUGUAUGGGGUUUUACAUAUAAACACUGUUCCAAGGCAAUCAGGUAAUGAGCAUCUCUUUUCAUGCUCAUAUGAGCGGCAUGAAGUUCCUCUUUCAAAACAUCUGUCACAGCCAGAAAGAUUUUCAGAGAGGAAUCUCUAUCAUUACUGAGGGCUAUGAAAUACAUCUCCCCUUAAUCUUAUCUGUACCCUGUCUGUUAUUGCACAACUUAAUAAAGCUGUUUAGUACUCAGAGUACUGAGAAUGUAUCUAUAUAAUACAACUCCAGUAUAUAAAUUUGUGUAGAUGAUGCUCUGCUACUCUGAGUUGUGACAAUAACAUUAGCAGUUCGUCUUUUGUUGCGUGCUGUGACUGCACACAGGCUUGUAAAAAUAGGCAACAUGCAAUUGACCCUCAGCCCACCAACCAGCUGCAGUUUUAAGGUCAGCACACAAAACCAUUUUAGGCCAAAGAGUAUGAUGGUGAAAAAAUACAGGAAGAAUAAUGUACUGUAGCUGGUUGCUGUACUGCACAGCUGCUACAGUUUGCCUAGUUGUAGUAACAUAAUCAUGUGACAUAAAACAUUUAUUGAUAAUAAUGAUACUUUGUAUCCACACAGGUAACAGAAGUAAAACAAUGGGGAAGAUCUGAAAUUUACAUUCAGGAAAUAGAGAUGUAUGUUUUUGGUUCUAGGUUUCAUUUGUAUGAAAUAUCACUGUGAGAUGUAUUAGAGAUAUGUAGUUUUUCAUUUUCCAUUUCUGGUUCCUGUUUAUUACACAUAAACUAACUCAGGUAAUAAGCCACAGUAUUUAUCGCGUAUUCUUUUUCUCUAGGAUAAAGAAAGUGCACACACACACACACACACACACACACACACACACAUACACAUACAUAUACACACACCUACCUGUGGUGGCUGAUAUUAUUAACACACACAUAGGUGUUAUUACACACUUUUAAUUAGCUGCUCUUUAUAUGUGUAGCUUUGUGGCCUCAAUAUGUGAUGAAGUACUUCUCCUGCCUCUUGUGGUUUUCCUGUGACCAACUGCUACAAAAUGAUUCAUCCCCUUCUGUGUCGUCAGAAACGUCAGAAUCUUCUUCUCAACAGAUGCCUUUGGUGUGCUGUCCUAAUGUGUAAGUUAAACAUCCUGCAGAUUUUGCAAUAUUUAAUGUGAUCUCUCAGCAUUCGUGGAAGUUCACAGUUGAAACAUAUAUUUUGCUAAAGUUAUUUCAGACUUAAUAAUAGAUUUAUUUAUGUUCUUGACAUAUAUUUUCAACAGUGUCCUUCCAUGUAAUUCAAGUACAAGGUCAGUCUCUGAUCUACUGUCUUUAUUGCUGAGUUGUGUCGUCACUGUAUGUUAUUCCAUGAUUAGUCUAUGAUUGGAUUGGGUAAUGUAUAACUGCUUAAAUGGGGAAAAAGACAAAAAAAAAAAAAGACACAGGUAUAUUAUGUGACAUAACAUCUAAGCAUUCAGUAUAACAUGUCUUGGUUUGAAACUGGCAAUGAAACAGCAGUGAUCACAGAAUUUGUUUUGUCAGAAUUUUUGCCUGCUGAUUUCACAUCAGAGUUCAUCUGCCAAAGUGUCAUGGUCUGGGUGAGUGAGAUGUUUUUUCAUAGAGCUGGGGCUCCACCUCCGGAUGGAGUCUCCAUUCAGCAGUCUCACCUGUCUGCAAUCAAGCUACCAGUAUUUAAGACCAGCACAUUCAACAAGUCUUCUCCAGAUCUACAGCUAACCAGUGUUAGUGUUAGGCUACAUUGAAAGUAGUAUUCUCACUUAACCUGUGUCUCUCUGUUCUAGUAACCCACCAGGUCACCAUGCUUCACUCUUGAGCAAUACUUACCUUCAUUAGGACGUCGGUCUUGCUGCAAUCACCCAGUCUGGUUACCCUCCAUUCCUCUCUACACAUCACCUGCCUUCCUUCCUGUCACGGCUUCUGGAACUCAUUUGGAUCUGGACUUUGACUCACCCCGGAUUGGAAACUCACCCGGACCUUUUUGGACUGCCCUCCUUCCACAUCGUUCUCCGCCUGCAACAAGUAAGCCAUUAGAAACACUUCCAGCCUUACUUACCAUUAAUCACUGGAACCCAGCUGACUCUCUGCACUCCUUUUGUUGCAGUCACUCUGCACUGCUUCACCCGAGCCACAGCCCCUCCUCCCCUUGGCCCUGUUCAUGGACUUUAGAAUUAACUUUAACUCAAAGAUUAAGCUUCGCGUUUUGACUUUUUAGGUUGUCUCGUAAGUUCUCAGUUCAUAGUCGACACCCUAAGGUUUAGUCUCACUUUGUAAAUAAAGCACUGUCUUCACAUCAGUUUGUGUCUCUGUCUCUGUCUCUGUCUGCAUUUGAGGCCUCUCACCUGGUCUGGCCACUCGGCCGUAACACAAAGUAGAAGUGAGACUUAGCCUUCUUAUUGACAAAAAGACAUUUCUAUAUUGUAUUUUAUUUGCCUUAAAAUCACCUAAAAUGACAAAAAAGAGUAUUGUUACAUUGCAGGUCAUGUAGAAUAUAAGUGAUAAUAUAGGGCUUUUGUGAAUGUCAAUAUGAUUUCAAAUACUAAUACAGAAUCUUAGUUUCCUUGAUUGCAGACUGAUGCAAAAUGUUUAAUGUAAGUUGUGUACAUUAAUCUUCAUGUAAGUCAAAAACUACAGAUGAUGGUUCAGCAUUUUAUUGGUAACCAAGUUAACUUCACUUGCUCUCUGCCUCGAUCUGUG